GUCCUGGGGUCCGCCCUUCCCCGCCCCGUCCCCGCCUCCCACCCAGCCCCCUCCUCCUCAGGUGAGGCCGCAGGCUCGGCAGGCCCCACGCUGCUGGCUGCUGCUGCCACCCUUGCCUUCCGGGCUGCCCGCUGCUGUGGGGACAGACACCAUGCCCCUGCCCAGGCCCGGAGACUAACCCCAAACCUGCACCAUCUCCGGCGAACCCGAGGGUAAGGCACAGAAUGCGAAGCCCCUCAUCCCCCACCAAUCUGAUGCUCAGCAGCCCGUGUAAGAGAUCCCAGAAACCCCCAGACUACUCCAGCCUGCUUUCACUGCUAACUCAGAAAUCUGAGGACUCCCCCAAGUUCUCCUCCCUCAAAACCCUCAAGUCCCCUGGAAGUUCAACCUCGCCCGCCUGGUGUUCUGACCUGCCACUCCAGGUGUCCCCCUGGUGGCUGGUCACACAUUGCCAUUAUUGACCCCCGGCCCAACCUCUGUCUUUGCAUGCUCUGGCCCCAGCCCAGGGUCGGCUGCUCCCUGGAUGGGAGCCUGGGACUGGGGGCGCCAGGAUAGAGUCAGGCCAGGCUCCCCCAGGCCAUGCCUCCUUGUUCCUGUCCCUAGGUUCCGCCCCAGCCCAACAGGUCAACCUGGGAAUCAUUAACAAGAGUCCCUGACAUGGCGAAGGAGGAUGAGGAACCUGGGGCUCACAGAGGAGGUUCCACUUGUUCAAGACCCCAACCUGGAAAGGGUAAGGCUGCUAUUUUAUAUUUUAUUCUUUUUUUGUAUAUUUUUAAUUUUCUAUAUGUGUGUGUACAUGUGCCCAUGUGUAUGAGUAUGUGUAUGUGUGUGCAUGUGGGGGGUGUACACAUGUGUGUACGAGAAUGUGUAUAUAUGUGUGCAUGCACAUGCGUGUGAGCAUAUGUGUGUGUAUAUACAUGGGAUGUGCAUGUUCACAUGUGUGAAUGUGUAUGGAUGUGGGUGAGUUUGUGCAUGCACAUGUAUGCGUAUGAAUACAUGCAUGUGCCUGUGUGGAUACCGGUGUACACAUUGGAGACGGCAUGAAGAAUCUUGUGUGUCCUGCCCUAUCACUCUCUGUGUAUUUCCCGUGAUCUGGGGUCUCUCACUGAGCCUGCAGCUAGGCUGAUGGCCAGGGAGCCCCAACGACCCUCCUGUCUGUCCACCCCAACAGUGCAGGGCUUACAGACCUGCUCCACCACACCUGACCUUUUACACAGUGCUGGGAACCUAUCUCUGAAUCCCACACUUGCCCAGCAAGUGCUCUUACCCAUGGAGCCAUCUCUCCAAGGUCACUAUUUCAGAGUGGGGUUGCCCUGCAUAGUGCAAUGCCUGGCAUUGUAGCACUUAGGAAGCAGAGGCUAGCCUGAGUAUCAUAGGGAGACCUUGUCUAAGCUAGUGGUGGUGCAUGCCUUUAAUCCCAGCACUCCAGAGGCAGGGGCCAUUGGAUUUCUGAGUUGGAGGCCAGCCUGGUCUACAGAGAGAGUUCCAAGACAGCCAGGGCUACACAGAGAAACCCUGUUUUGAAAAACCAAAACCAAACCAGACCAAAAUACAGGCAGAUAUGGUGACACGUGACUGCCAUCCCAGCACUAAGGGAGGCAGGCAGGCAAACUCUCACUAGUUCGAGGCUAGCUUGUACAUUAUGGUAUGUUUGAUGCCAGCACUGUUAGGUAGUAAGACCUCUCAAAAUACAAACCAACCCCCCCCCCAAAAAAAAUCAAACCAAAAAAAACUUGGGUUCUCAAACUCCCAGAUACAAAUUUGAUCUUGGAACUUGUGAGAAAGAGAAUCAGGUCUUGGGGUUACCAAGAGGGUAAAGAUCAGAGGUCACAGGCACCUUAAAGUUGUAAGAACUUCUGGAAAGGUUAUCAGAAGAGAGGAUCUGGGGACAGGCUGG
rnacentral:lncRNA from 1 species